AGAGUUUGAUCAUGGCUCAGAUUGAACGCUGGCGGCAUGCCUUACACAUGCAAGUCGAACGCGAAAGGGGGCAACCCCGAGUAGAGUGGCGAACGGGUGAGCAAUACAUCGGAACGUGUCCUGUAGCGGGGGACAACACAUCGAAAGAUGUGCUAAUACCGCAUACGAUCUACGGAUGAAAGUGGGGGACCGCAAGGCCCCACACUAUAGGAGCGGCCGAUGCCGGAUUAGCUUGUUGGCGGGGUAAAAGCCCACCAAGGCGACGAUCCGUAGCUGGUUUGAGAGAACGACCAGCCACACUGGGACUGAGACACGGCCCAGACUCCUACGGGAGGCAGCAGUGGGGAAUUUUGGACAAUGGGCGCAAGCCUGAUCCAGCCAUGCCGCGUGAGUGAAGAAGGCCUUCAGGUUGUAAAGCUCUUUCGGCCGGGACGAAAUGGCGCGGGGUAAUAUCCCGCGUCGAUGACGGUACCGGAAGAAGAAGGACCGGCUAACUACGUGCCAGCAGCCGCGGUAAUACGUAGGGUCCAAGCGUUAAUCGGAAUUACUGGGCGUAAAGCGUGUGCAGGCGGUUUCGAAAGUCCGAUGUGAAAUCCCCGGGCUUAACCUGGGAACUGCGUUGGAAACUACGAGGCUAGAGUGCGGCAGAGGGGGGUGGAAUUCCAGGUGUAGCAGUGAAAUGCGUAGAUAUCUGGAGGAACACCGAUGGCGAAGGCAGCCCCCUGGGUUAGCACUGACGCUCAUACACGAAAGCGUGGGGAGCAAACAGGAUUAGAUACCCCGGUAGUCC
rnacentral:rRNA from 1 species